AUUGAACGCUGGCGGCAUGCCUUACACAUGCAAAUCGAACGGUAACGGGCCUUCGGGUGCCGACGAGUGGCGAACGGGUGAGUAAUACAUCGGAACGUGCCCGAUCGUGGGGGAUAACGAGGCGAAAGCUUUGCUAAUACCGCAUACGAUCUACGGAUGAAAGCAGGGGACCGCAAGACCUUGCGCGGACGGAGCGGCCGAUGGCAGAUUAGGUAGUUGGUGGGAUAAAAGCUUACCAAGCCGACGAUCUGUAGCUGGUCUGAGAGGAUGAUCAGCCACACUGGGACUGAGACACGGCCCAGACUCCUGCGGGAGGCAGCAGUGGGGAAUUUUGGACAAUGGGCGCAAGCCUGAUCCAGCCAUGCCGCGUGCAGGAUGAAGGCCUUCGGGUUGUAAACUGAUUUUGUACGGAACGAAAAGCCUUCUUUUAAUACAGGAGGGUCAUGACGGUACCGUAAGAAUAAGCACCGGCUAACUACGCG
rnacentral:rRNA from 1 species